CGAUGAGUAACAGCUCGAUACGAUUCGCUGGUGUUCAUCAACCUGUUUGCUUUUUUUUGGUGGCUGAAAAGUGCAUCUCAUCUCGAGAGAAAACAGCUUGCGUGCUCGGAUUUGCAGGGGAGCUGUGACUUAUGAGUUGAUCGCGGAUUUUGUGCAUUUAUCAUAGAAAUGACCAGAAGAAAAUCAAAGUCCUCGUUGCCGACAGGUUAUACCAGUGGUUCGAACCCGUGCAGGACUAACCCGGAACAACAGAAAACAAGUCCCGCGUUUACUUGGUUCAAGCGCCACCUGAACAGCUGUACGGUAUUUGUGCUAUUAAAGAAGAAAACUCGCGGAGAUUGCCCGCGGCGGGACCUCCGGGAGUAAACACCGUAAGAGGCAAUCAACCCGACCGCUCAUUUGGAGUCCCCUUGAAGACGGUAAACCCAUGGUCCGUCGACUUGAACUGCUCGAUUGGAAUUAGCUGCUAUGUCGUUAACCGCGGCAAAGCCACUCGAAAUUUUGAUUCGGUCGGCCCGAGUCGAUCCGAGACGUGCCCUUGGACCGAAGUUGGAGAGGAGAGGAGAGCGAAGACGCCCGGGACCGGAAGCGUCGCAUUCGUUGCCCGCAUGGGACGGACGAUUUAUCUCGCAGGAAAUCAAGAAUGGGCAUUCGCUCGCGGGUGUCCGUGAACUCGGGCCGCGGUUAACGAUCCGCCGGUGUUAAUUAAAAAAUAUAGAGGGCCGUAUUUGUCAGCGGUGGAAGGGUGUUAUGACAUUCGUCGGACAGGACGUAGGAUUUAUAUCCGCGCACGGUCGCCACCGCUUAACGGUUAAUCGCUGACGCAUCCUGUCCACGUGUGUUGCGAGGCUCUCCGACAAUUUUGAUAAUAACUUCAUUCGAAUUGAUCGAGGCAGGACGAGGCAGCGCG